UGUACCCAGACCAGCACCGGCACAGCCGCCUUUGCCGCGGAUGGCAUUAAUUGAACCUGAAAUGUGCUUUCCUCCGGCGUUACGCUCCUGCCUGCCCGUGGAGUGAUGUGGGUGACCCCGUCCCCAGCCCGGCAAGCUCAGCAGCAGCAAACGCAGCGGCUGUGUGCGUGGGCAUGUGCGUGGGGUGGCUGGCGUCUGAGCGCGGAGGGGAUGGGGACAGGGGCAACGCAUGGAUGAGGGACAAUGAGUGAUGGCCUCUAAAUCGCAGGGAUGCAUCUGCAGCGAAGACAAGCGGGCGCUUCUGGUGGCCUCAAACCACAUCUCCCAGGGAAUUCUGCAGGUCCACAGCAGCAGGGGUGGAGAGGGACCCCUCUCCUGUCCCCAUCCCUGAAGCCUGGCAGGGACAGUCGGGUGAGUCUUGCAGGACCAGCCAGCUGCGCUGGCCUUGCCCUGCUCUCGUCCAUCACAUCAAGCUGUGAAAGCCCAGCACUGAACAUCUCCUUUAAGCAGCAGGUCCCUGAGAUGGCAAAAAAGUCAGGUCUGAUCAAAGCCUGGCUUCUCUCCUAGUGCCGGGGGUCGGCAGGGGGAAGGGGGAAAUAUUAAAAUCCCAAGAUCAGUCAGUCACUGGUUCUUACUUCAGCUGCAAGAAGUGACCGGCUCUGCUGAUCAAAGGCCUCGCCACUGUUAUUUUAAAGGUGACAUUAACAUUUAAGGAGCUUUUGAAAGCCCUGGCUUGCAAUAAAAAGCCAGACACCCGGUCAUAGAGCAACUCAAACGCAAGUUUAAUGAUAAUGAAACAGCCUUUUGUUCUUAAACUCAAAGAAGAACCACAAACCUCUUUAUAGUGUUUAUAAUAAAGACUGUGAAGCCUUUUACACGUAAUCCAGCAAACCGAUACCUGCAAGCCGUGGUGUUACCCAGUGAUACCCAACGUGCAGAGCAGGCUUUUGUGCAUGCUUCUCUCCUCAGUUUGCAGGCACAACUGCCACGUUUCCUUCCGAUGAUGCCAGGCUUUGCCCAGCGCUGUGAGCACCGCACGGAUGCCUCCUCCUGGUUGUGAGCCUGUGCCGAGCUGUGCCGCUGGCCCGGGACUCGUGAGCGUGUCCGCAGCCGGGUGGCAUGACACGGCUUGGCAAGAUGUGGCAUGGUACAGCUUGGCACGACACGGCUUGGCAAGGCAUGGCAUGGUACAGCUUGGCACGGCACGCCCUGGCAUGGUUUGACACAGCAUGGCACAGCCCCACCGUUCAUCCCAUUCAGGACUUGCACCAGCUCAGAGCCUCCUGAUCCAGGACAUCUGUAUUUUAGAGCCCAGCUCAUGUAUGCAGCCAUCACAGCAGAUACCAAACCUCCAUUUUAUGGCAGCUGAAAUCACUCCUUUUCCUCCUUCCUGCCUCGUCACAACACCUUGUCACUCCCUGCACCCACCAAAACUCACUUUGGACUUACCCUGGCUGCAGACAUGGACCUGGAUGACCAGGGCUGCCGCUCCCUCCCCUCUCAGAGCCAGACCUCCAGAGAACCGGGUGCAUUUUAGCAGCGUGGUGUGGGAAGCCACGCAUGCAGUGCUGGGGGGCUUGGUGCACACAACGACCAGCCUUCUCCUGACACUUCAUUUAUAAAUAGCCUGGAAAUGAGAGCUGGGUAGAUAGGAGCUGUGGCCGGGGUUAGAGCAAGAUGGAUGGUUCCCCAGGCCCAGGGAAUGAACAGAUCGAGGCCACCCUGUCGUCUCUGGCAUCCCAUUAAGCCAAGCUCUGGGAGGAGGCUGCCGUAAGACUUAUUAAAUUUGCCCCAGCCCAGACCCCCAACGCCAGCCCCUGCAUGGGGCUGCCCCGGCUCAGCCACCUGAGUCCCACCUCGCCAUCGUCCCCAGUGCCGCCGCCGGCCCCUCUCCUGCAUCCCCCCCAGGGGCCCGAUCCGGCCCCACUCUCACCCCUCACAUCAGCCUGGGAAGUGCCUCAAUCCGUUCUUGUCAGCCGAGGCCGAUUCGUCACCGGCGAGGUGACAAGCGGUUGUAUGGCUCUGUCAGCCCAUCGCUGGCGCGGGCUGGGCCCCCUGCGGCAAAGCCAAGGGUCCCCCCCAAGGAGGGGGCCAGGGGCAGCGGGGGGGGGCACGGCCAGCCCCCGACCUGCCCCUGACCCAGGGGCUCCUGCAGCUGGAGAAAUGGCAAUGGAGGGGGAACAGAAAAGGAAACAGAGCGGGAAAAAGGGGAAAAAAAGGGGAUAAAACAAUAAUCUGAGCCCUAUCGAGUCCGCUGCCGGGGAGCACGGGGGCAGGCUCAGCUGGCGGGGGCAGGAGGGAGGAUGCUGUCCCAUCCCCACUGCCCGCCAGCGCCGCGUUAGCACAGUUAUUUCCACUUUAAUACUUAACAAGGAUUUAAAACCCUUCUGUAGUCAGAGUUUGUUCUCAGCGAUAAAUUUUGAAUAGCUUAUAAAUUAUGGACACAACGUGGUGUCUCUGUCUGGGAGGAAGGGCCGGACCCAGCUUGCUGUUACGGUGGUGUAAAGCCGGCGUGGCAUUGCUGGCAACGAGUCUGGCAGGUCGGCGUUCCCGGGAGCUGGAUCAGGCCUGCCGUGCCUGGUUAUAACAUUACUGUGACGAUAGUAUCAUAUCGCAUAGCAAAGCACAGUCACGGCUGCUUCACACCUCCUGAUAAUAAUCACCCAGGAUGCAAAAAUCACAGGACAGAAUUACAGAUGAACGGAGAAAUGCACAUCCUCUCUCUCCCCACAUAUGCAUGUAUGUGUAUAUAUAGAUGUAGAUAUAGAGAUAUAUAUAGCCACGAGCCCAUGCACUUGUAUGCAUGGAGAAUGUGCUCACACUCAGGACGAGCGGGGUCAGAUUGCCCAUCUCCCGUUGACAGUCAUCCCCCCGUGCCCUGGCUCCCGACCAAACACGUCCCUGCCGUAACACAGGGGGCUGCAAACUCCAGCUAAAAUCCCUGCAAACGGGGAGCUGCAGCUCCCGCCGAAACACCUUGCAGCUGCCUGCCCCGCUCUUGGCUCUCCGGGACCGGGAGGGGAUCCACGCCGAGAAAAAGCCUGGCUGGAGGAGAUGAUUUCAUCCACCCGGUGAGAGACAUAGUGAGCGUUUCUGAAAGCCACACGGGUGUGUGCAAUGGGCCUUCCUUCCUUUUCCCCUGGCACGCUGUAGCAAGUCAGUAAUUAGGUUAGAGCAUCGCUCCAGCUUUAUUUCAGUGCACCGAUGUCCAAUAAAUGCAU